UGCACGUGUGAUGAAUCUACAGGGACUUAAUACUGAACCUGUGAUGAUCUGUGUGAUCUGAUGUGC